UCAGUGACCUCCUAACUUUUAAUUCAUUGU
rnacentral:piRNA from 1 species